AACAAUGGAGAGCUUCUCACUUUGUCUCUAGACAAAUCAUCUGGCUCUGGUUUCCAGUCCAAGAACGAGUACUUGUUCGGUAAAAUCGACAUGCAGAUGAAACUCGUCCCUGGUAACUCCGCAGGAACAGUCACAACACUCUACUUGAAAUCACCCGGAACAACAUGGGACGAGAUUGACUUCGAGUUCUUAGGGAACCUAAGUGGAGAUCCUUACACACUUCACACAAAUGUCUACACACAA